rnacentral:rRNA from 1 species
GAUGAACGCUGGCGGCGUGCCUAAUACAUGCAAGUCGAGCGAACGGACGAGAAGCUUGCUUCUCUGAUGUUAGCGGCGGACGGGUGAGUAACACGUGGAUAACCUACCUAUAAGACUGGGAUAACUUCGGGAAACCGGAGCUAAUACCGGAUAAUAUUUUGAACCGCAUGGUUCAAAAGUGAAAGACGGUCUUGCUGUCACUUAUAGAUGGAUCCGCGCUGCAUUAGCUAGUUGGUAAGGUAACGGCUUACCAAGGCAACGAUGCAUAGCCGACCUGAGAGGGUGAUCGGCCACACUGGAACUGAGACACGGUCCAGACUCCUACGGGAGGCAGCAGUAGGGAAUAUUCCGCAAUGGGCGAAAGCCUGACGGAGCCACGCCGCGUGAGUGAUGAAGGUCUUCGGAUCGUAAAACUCUGUUAUUAGGGAAGAACAUAUGUGUAAGUAACUGUGCACAUCUUGACGGUACCUAAUCAGAAGGCCACGGCUAACUACGUG